UGUGCCAUAUUGUCUUGUCAAUGCUCAAUCUUGUCUGACCUCAGAAGCUAAACAGGGUGGGGCCUGGUUAGUACUUGGAUGGGAGACUAGGAAUACCAGUCCUUGGGCAAGA
rnacentral:rRNA from 1 species